rnacentral:lncRNA from 1 species
ACCCUAGAUAGGAAGGUCUGGAAGACGCGAAUUACGGCAGAAGAGUAGGGCCAGAUUGGGUCGCUAGUGUAGGGAUUUACUUGGUGGGUUUUUUUUUUGUUUUUUUUUUUUUUUUUUUUUUUUUUUUUUUUUAUUUCCGUUUUUUUUCCGAAUCUGUGUGCUUUCCUCUGCUUUCCUCUGUUUUAUAUUCCUUAUGGGUGCCGUAUUUAUGUUAUGUCAUCUGCUUCUGUGCUUUACUAUGUGUUGGUGUGAUAUCUUGUGCCCUGAGCCGGGGGUCUUUCGGAAACAGCCUUUCUACUUCAUCAGAGGUAGAGGUAUGGACUGCGUACAUCUUACCCCCCCC